rnacentral:rRNA from 1 species
AAAAGGUGGCUAUGCUACCGCUUUUGGAUGGGCCCGCGGCGCAUUAGCUAGUUGGUGGGGUAAAGGCUUACCAAGGCAAUGAUGCGUAGCCGAACUGAGAGGUUGAUCGGCCACAUUGGGACUGAGACACGGCCCAAACUCCUACGGGAGGCAGCAGUAGGGAAUCUUCCACAAUGGGCGAAAGCCUGAUGGAGCAACGCCGCGUGGGUGAAGAGGGUCUUCGGAUCGUAAAACCCUGUUGUUAGAGAAGAAAGUGCGUGAGAGUAACUGUUCACGUUUCGACGGUAUCUAACCAGAAAGCCACGGCUAACUACGUGCCAGCAGCCGCGGUAAUACGUAGGUGGCAAGCGUUAUCCGGAUUUAUUGGGCGUAAAGGGAACGCAGGCGGUCUUUUAAGUCUGAUGUGAAAGCCUUCGGCUUAACCGGAGUAGUGCAUUGGAAACUGGGAGACUUGAGUGCAGAAGAGGAGAGUGGAACUCCAUGUGUAGCGGUGAAAUGCGUAGAUAUAUGGAAGAACACCAGUGGCGAAAGCGGCUCUCUGGUCUGUAACUGACGCUGAGGUUCGAAAGCGUGGGUAGCAAACAGGAUUAGAUACCCUGGUAGUCCACCCCGUAAACGAUGAAUGCUAAGUGUUGGAGGGUUUCCGCCCUUCA